GCUACCUACGUGCCCGCGACGGGGGUAAGACUGGGGUGGGAAGCGUUGUCCGGUUUUAGUUGGCGUAACGCCAGCGCAUGCGUUGCCGUAAUUCCGAUGUGAAAGCCCACGGCUCAACCGUGGAAGGUCAUUGGAAACUGGGGAACUUGAGUGCAGAAGAGGAGAGUGGAAUGCCAUGUGUAGCGGUGAAAUGCGUAGAUAUAUGGAGGAACACCAGUGGCGAAGGCGACUCUCUGGUCUGUAACUGACGCUGAGGCUCGAAAGCGUGGGGAGCAAACAGGAUUAGAUACCCUAGUAGUC
rnacentral:rRNA from 1 species